GAUGAACGCUGGCGGCGUGCCUAAUACAUGCAAGUCGAGCGAACGGACGAGAAGCUUGCUUUUCUGAUGUUAGCGGCGGACGGGUGAGUAACACGUGGAUAACCUACCUAUAAGACUGGGAUAACUUCGGGAAACCGGAGCUAAUACCGGAUAAUAUUUUGAACCGCAUGGUUCAAAAGUGAAAGACGGUCCUGCUGUCACUUAUAGAUGGAUCCGCGCUGCAUUAGCUAGUUGGUAAGGUAACGGCUUACCAAGGCAACGAUGCAUAGCCGACCUGAGAGGGUGAUCGGCCACACUGGAACUGAGACACGGUCCAGACUCCUACGGGAGGCAGCAGUAGGGAAUCUUCCGCAAUGGGCGAAAGCCUGACGGAGCAACGCCGCGUGAGUGAUGAAGGUCCUCGGAUCGUAAAACUCUGUUAUUAGGGAAGAACAUAUGUGUAAGUAACUGUGCACAUCUUGACGGUACCUAAUCAGAAAGCCACGGCUAACUACGUG
rnacentral:rRNA from 1 species